rnacentral:tRNA from 1 species
GUUUUGAUGACCGAGUUAAGGUGAAAGAUUUUUAAUCUUUUUACAGAAUUAUUUUCUUCAAAGCA